rnacentral:rRNA from 1 species
CAGGACGACGCUGGCGGCGCGCCUAACACAUGCAAGUCGAACGAGCGAGAGAGAGUUUACUUUUUCGAGCGAGUGGCGAACGGGUGAGUAACGCGUGAGGAACCUGCCUCAAAGAGGGGGACAACAGUUGGAAACGACUGCUAAUACCGCAUAAGCCCACGGCUCGGCAUCGAGCAGAGGGAAAAGGAGUGAUCCGCUUUGAGAUGGCCUCGCGUCCGAUUAGCUAGUUGGUGAGGUAACGGCCCACCAAGGCAACGAUCGGUAGCCGGACUGAGAGGUUGAACGGCCACAUUGGGACUGAGACACGGCCCAGACUCCUACGGGAGGCAGCAGUGGGGAAUAUUGCACAAUGGGGGAAACCCUGAUGCAGCGACGCCGCGUGGAGGAAGAAGGUCUUCGGAUUGUAAACUCCUGUUGUUGAGGAAGAUAAUGACGGUACUCAACAAGGAAGUGACGGCUAACUACGUG